rnacentral:rRNA from 1 species
GACGAACGCUGGCGGCGUGCUUAACACAUGCAAGUCGAACGGAAAGGCCCUGCUUUUGUGGGGUGCUCGAGUGGCGAACGGGUGAGUAACACGUGAGUAACCUGCCCUUGACUUUGGGAUAACUUCAGGAAACUGGGGCCAAUACCGGAUAGGAGCUCCUGCUGCAUGGUGGGGGUUGGAAAGUUUCGGCGGUUGGGGAUGGACUCGCGGCUUAUCAGCUUGUUGGUGGGGUAGUGGCUUACCAAGGCUUUGACGGGUAGCCGGCCUGAGAGGGUGACCGGCCACAUUGGGACUGAGAUACGGCCCAGACUCCUACGGGAGGCAGCAGUGGGGAAUAUUGCACAAUGGGCGGAAGCCUGAUGCAGCAACGCCGCGUGCGGGAUGACGGCCUUCGGGUUGUAAACCGCUUUCGCCUGUGACGAAACGUGAGUGACGGUAAUGGGUAAAGAAGCACCGGCUAACUACGUG